GGAGGAAAACCAACCCAACAACUAUGCCCCUCGCGUCGCCUCCCACGACCACGAUCGACGACCACCCGGGACCGGCGAGUCGAGUCUUGCAAAGUCGUCCAUAGUUUUCACACCCCCGACCUCUCCACCCCACCAAAGUCGCAGGAGGACGCCGAGAGGCAGGGGAGAAGGAAGAAAGGAGGCAAGGUUGAGACAGCAGCCAGCAAUGGAGAAGGCGCUCGACAGGCAGAGGAUCCUGCUGCGGCACCUGGAGCCCGCGGCCGGCGCCAGCCCUGCCGCCUCCGCCAUCUCCGCCAGCGCGUGCGCCGCGGGGGAGAGCGCCGCGUACCACCGGGGUCCCUGCUUCGCCGACGACGUCGUCAUCGUCGCUGCCUAUAGGACAGCAAUCUGCAAGGCCAAGAGAGGUAGUUUCAAGGAUACACUCCCUGAGGACCUCCUAGUGCCCGUAUUCAAGGCUUUGGUGGAUAAAACAAAGUUAAAUCCGAGCGAAGUUGGCGACAUUGUUGUUGGUACUGUUUUAGCUCCUGGGUCCCAAAGGGCAAUAGAAUGCAGGAUGGCCGCGUUGUAUGCGGGUUUCCCUGACACGGUUCCUCUGAAGACUGUAAACCGGCAGUGCUCUUCUGGGCUUCAGGCAGUCGCAGAUGUUGCUGCUGCUAUAAAAGCAGGGAUGUAUGAUAUCGGUAUUGCUGCUGGCGUAGAGUCCAUGACAGUGAACAAAGUUGAUCUUAUUGGGAAAGUGAAUCCCAAAGUUGAGCUAUUUGCUCAAGCACGUGAUUGCCUUCUCCCAAUGGGCCUUACCUCUGAGAAUGUUGCACAGCAAUUUGGCAUAACACGCAUGGAGCAAGAUCAAGCUGCUGUUGAGUCUCACAGGAAGGCAGCGGCGGCAGUUGCUGCUGGUAAAUUUAAAGAAGAAAUAGUUCCAGUUCAUACAAAGAUCGUGGAUCCAAAAACUGGUGAAGAAAAGGAGAUUGUGGUCUCAGCAGAUGAUGGAAUCCGAUCGAAUACCACACUGGCAGUCCUGUCAAAACUUAAACCAGCAUUUUCUAAGGACGGGACCACUACUGCUGGAAAUGCUAGCCAAGUAAGUGAUGGAGCUGGAGCUGUCCUACUAAUGAGGCGAGAUGUUGCUACACAGAAGGGUCUUCCAAUUCUUGGAAUCUACAGGAGCUUUGCUGCAGUUGGAGUUGAUCCAGCUGUGAUGGGCGUUGGUCCUGCUGUUGCUAUCCCAGCAGCAGUGAAGGCCGCGGGCCUUCAAAUUAACGAUGUUGACCUUUUUGAGAUUAAUGAGGCUUUUGCAUCUCAGUAUGUGUACUGCUCAAAAAAGUUGGAUCUCGAUCCCGCAAAAGUCAAUGUUAAUGGGGGUGCAAUUGCUCUUGGACAUCCAUUGGGUGCCACAGGUGCGCGAUGUGUCAGCACUCUUCUCAACGAGAUGAAGCGCCAAGGCAAGGACUGCCGGUUUGGAGUGAUUUCCAUGUGCAUAGGUUCCGGGAUGGGUGCGGCCGCCGUUUUCGAGCGUGGAGAUGCGGUGGAUGAGCUGACGAAUGCCCGAGGGGUGCCCUCGCUUAACUGGCUCUCCAAAGACACCGUGUAACUAUUUCUCAUGCAAAUUGUGUAGCUGCCACCAUUGUUCUCAAAAUUAUCAAAGCGUGUCGGGGCUGGGGAAUAAGUUGAUCCUGCAUUUGUAAUUCUUCUUGGGUCAUGAAAAAUCUUAUCAGCGUCUGAGCUUAUUUGUUUCACCGUUUUGUGUCUCUGUUCCUAAAAUAGUGCUUUGAUAAAUAAAUUCGGAUAAACUCUCGUCUUAACGCU
rnacentral:rRNA from 1 species